CCUACGGGUGGCAGCAGUAGGGAAUAUUGCUCAAUGGGGGAAACCCUGAAGCAGCAACGCCGCGUGGAGGAUGAAGGUUUUCGGAUUGUAAACUCCUUUUGUUAGAGAAGAUAAUGACGGUAUCUAACGAAUAAACACCGGCUAACUCCGUGCCAGCAGCCGCGGUAAUACGGCGGGUGCAAGCAUUACUCGGAAUCACUGGGCGUAAAGAGCGCGUAGGCGGGAUAGAAAGUCAGAUGUGAAAUCCUAGGGCUUAACCAUAGAACUGCAUUUGAAAAUGUUAUUCUAGAGUAUGGGAGAGGUAGGUGGAAUUCUUGGUGUAGGGGUAAAAUCCGUAGAGAUCAAGAGGAAUACUCAUUGCGAAGGCGACCUGCUAGAACAUAACUGACGCUGAUGCGCGAAAGCGUGGGGAGCAAACAGGAUUAGAUACCCUAGUAGUC
rnacentral:rRNA from 1 species